ensembl:lncRNA
AUAAUCUCAGGAAUUUGGGAGGCCAAGGACCAAGGAGCCUCAUAAGUUUGAGACUGGCCUGUGCAACAGAGUGAGACCUUGCUGAGACUCUGUUGAGAUCAGGAGUUAGAGACCAGUCUGGCCAAUAUGGUGAAACCCUGUCUCUACUAAAAAUACAAAAAUUAGCCAGGCACGGUGGCGGGCGCCUGUAAUCCCAGCUUUUCGGGAGGCUGAAGCUGGAGAAUCGCUUGAACCUGGGAGACAGGGGUUGCAGUGAGCUGAGGUUGCGCCACUGCACUCCAGCCUGGGCCACAGAGUGAGACUCCAUCCCCUCCAAAAAAAAUAGCUGGGCGCAGUGGCUCACGCCUGUAAUCCCAGCAUUUUGGGAGGCCAAGGUGAGCGGAUCACCUGAGGUCAGGAGUUUGAGACCAGCCUGGCCAACACAGUGAAACCCCGUCUCUACUAAAAAUACACAAAUAAGCCAGGCGUGGUGGCAGGCACCUGUAAUCCCAGCUACUCUGGAGGCUGAGGCAGGAGAAUCGCUUGAACCCAGAGACGGUGGAGGUUGCAGUGAGCUGAGAUCACAUGAUUACACUCCAGACUGGAUGAGAGAGGGAGACUCCAUCUCAAAAAAAAAGAAAGAAAGAAAUUUGGCCAGGUGUGGUGGCUCACGCCUGUAAUCCAAGCACUUUGGAGGCUAAGGCGGGCAGAUCACCUGAGGUUGGGAGUUCAAGACCAGCCUGACCAACAUGGUGAAACCCUGUCUUUAAAUAUAUAUAUAUACAUAUAUAUAUUUUUUAAAAAAUUCUUAAAAGGUUUUUGAAAGAAGGGGCCCCUGUCCCCCAUUUUUGCUUUGCACUGAGCUCUGCAAUUCCAUGUCCAGUCCUGGUCACCACAGUCUUGCAAAAGCCAGCAAGGCUGUCCUUCUCAGCAAGGUCUCCACUGCAUAUGACCUCAUCUUCCUUUGUCAGCUACGAGCAAACAGGAGGAGGAAGCAGGUCUCCAGAGCCCAGCAGCAGGGAGCCGGGAGAGGGCAGCUGCACUGGAGAAGGCUCUACCACCAAGAGGGGUGAGAGGAAGGGAGAAGAGGGAGGAGGAGGGAGGCUGUGCAGGGCAGACAGGACAGAGCUGGGCAGGCAGACAGGUGGGUACUCCCAGAAAAGGGGUUGAUGGGCAUAGAAGGUGGGCCAGAGGUCCAUUUUACCUAGUCACCCGGCCUAGCUGGAUGCCCUGUCACCCUAUCACUCAUCUGUCCCACUUGUCUCCAUCACACGAGUGCCAAUCAGACCCUCUGGUGCCUAUCUAGCCCACUUGGCAGCCACCCGGGUAGGUAGGGGAAAAAGACUUUAUUCCAAUGAGAGAGAUCAAUACAUAGAGGCAGAAACUUAGAAACCCCCAAAUCCAGAAUGACCAAGAAAGGCCUCAUAGAUUAACCUAGAAUCAAUAGACCCUAAAAGAGUUUGAAGCACAAGAGACCCUUUACCCAAAAGGCCCUGUCGAGGAGCCUCAAAUCAAGAUACCCCAAGAAGGAAGUGAACAAGUCACCCAGCCUUGAGAGGAGGCCCCGGCCCAAAGGGACUCCCCAGAGGGACCUCAGGAGGAGAGAGCUGGCAGUGGGCAUGCGAUUCUCUUUACUCACUCUUCCUUUAUGUGACCUUUUCUUCCC